CCUACGGGGGGCAGCAGUGAGGAAUAUUGGUCAAUGGACGAGAGUCUGAACCAGCCAAGUAGCGUGAAGGAUGACUGCCCUAUGGGUUGUAAACCUCUUUUAUAUGGGAAUAAAAUGUUCCACGUGUGGGAUUUUGUAUGUACCAUAUGAAUAAGGAUCGGCUAACUCCGUGCCAGCAGCCGCGGUAAUACGGAGGAUCCGAGCGUUAUCCGGAUUUAUUGGGUUGAAAGGGCGCGUAGGUGGAUUGUUAAGUCAGUUGUGAAAGUUUGCGGCUCAACCGUAAAAUUGCAGUUGAAACUGGCAGGCUGGAGUACAGGAGAGGUGAGCGGAAUGCGUGGUGUAGCGGUGAAAUGCUUAGAUAGCACGCAGAACACCGAUUGCGAAGGCAGCAUACCGGCGCCCAACUGACGCUGAAGCACGAAGGCGUGGGUAUCGAACAGGAUUAGAGACCCCAGUAGUC
rnacentral:rRNA from 1 species